rnacentral:misc_RNA from 1 species
GAGGAAGUAAAAGUCGUAACAAGGUUUCCGUAGGUGAACCUGCGGAAGGAUCAUUAUCCAUCUCAAACCAGGUGCGGUCGCGGCCCCCGGGGGCUUGCUCCCGGGUGGUAGGGGUAACACCCUCACGCGCCGCCUGCCUGUACCCUCUUUUUACGAGCACCUUUCGUUCUCCUUCGGCGGGGCAACCUGCCGCUGGAACCAAAACAAAACCUUUUUUGCAUCUAGCAUUACCUGUUCUGAUACAAAUAAUCGUUACAACUUUCAACAAUGGAUCUCUUGGCUCUGGCAUCGAUGAAGAACGCAGCGAAAUGCGAUAAGUAGUGUGAAUUGCAGAAUUCAGUGAAUCAUCGAAUCUUUGAACGCACAUUGCGCCCCUUGGUAUUCCAUGGGGCAUGCCUGUUCGAGCGUCAUCUACACCCUCAAGCUCUGCUUGGUGUUGGGCGUCUGUCCCGCCUCUGCGCGCGGACUCGCCCCAAAUUCAUUGGCAGCGGUCUUUGCCUCCUCUCGCGCAGCACAAUUGCGUCUGCGGGGGGGCGUGGCCCGCGUCCACGAAGC